AACGAACGCUGGCGGCAUGCCUAACACAUGCAAGUCGAACGAGACCUUCGGGUCUAGUGGCGCACGGGUGCGUAACGCGUGGGAAUCUGCCCUUGGGUUCGGAAUAACAGUUAGAAAUGACUGCUAAUACCGGAUAAUGUCUUCGGACCAAAGAUUUAUCGCCCAGGGAUGAGCCCGCGUAGGAUUAGCUAGUUGGUGAGGUAAAGGCUCACCAAGGCGACGAUCCUUAGCUGGUCUGAGAGGAUGAUCAGCCACACUGGGACUGAGACACGGCCCAGACUCCUACGGGAGGCAGCAGUGGGGAAUAUUGGACAAUGGGCGAAAGCCUGAUCCAGCAAUGCCGCGUGAGUGAUGAAGGCCUUAGGGUUGUAAAGCUCUUUUACCCGGGAAGAUAAUGACUGUACCGGGAGAAUAAGCCCCGGCUAACUCCGUGCCAGCAGCCGCGGU
rnacentral:rRNA from 1 species